GACGAACGCUGGCGGCGUGCUUAACACAUGCAAGUCGAGCGGAAAGGCCCUUCGGGGUACUCGAGCGGCGAACGGGUGAGUAACACGUGAGUAACCUGCCCCAGACUUUGGGAUAACCCUCGGAAACGGGGGCUAAUACCGGAUACGACACAGCUUCGCAUGGGGUCUGUGUGGAAAGUUUUUCGGUUUGGGAUGGGCUCGCGGCCUAUCAGCUUGUUGGUGGGGUGAUGGCCUACCAAGGCGACGACGGGUAGCCGGCCUGAGAGGGCGACCGGCCACACUGGGACUGAGAGACGGCCCAGACGCCUACGGGAGGCAGCAGUGGGGAAUAUUGCACAAUGGGCGGAAGCCUGAUGCAGCGACGCCGCGUGAGGGAUGACGGCCUUCGGGUUGUAAACCUCUUUCAGCAGGGACGAAGCGUAAGUGACGGUACCUGCAGAAGAAGCGCCGGCCAACUACGUG
rnacentral:rRNA from 1 species